rnacentral:misc_RNA from 1 species
AGCAUACGUUUGAAUCUCAGCAGAUUUUAUUAAUUCUUUGAAACCAUAAAUACAAUAUGAGUAUUACAUUAACUUUAGUUCAUACAUGUAACAACAUAUUAUUCUGCACGUAACAAUGAGUUCUGGGGCUUGAAACACUCGAGAUUAGAAAUUUUGAUUAAUGUUUCACAUUAUGACUGGACGCUUGUUGUAAUAUCUUUUGUACGAGAUACACUAUACAUACACAAGAUCAAAAUGGAAUUUCGAAACGGUCGUAUCGUUCAACAAAAAUCUCUUUUAUCUUUGAUCCUCUUCAUAAAAAUGCAAUUCUCCUUUACAGAACAUCAUAUAACAUUUAUUGUACGA